GUUGCGAAGAUCAAAGUUGUGGUAUAUUCUCUCAAUUUAUUUUGUAUGCCACCGUAUCUAAUUUUUACUUACUGGUUACCUUUCCAUUCUUUGCCCUACAUAAAUACAAUGUGCACCAUCUGGAAGGUUAAAUGGGAAUCAUUGAUAGCUGUGGACCUUGAUAAUUGCUCCUGAUUCACAUUUUUAGAGUUACUUUCUCAGCAGAAGCAUUAAAAUGUUUCU
rnacentral:misc_RNA from 1 species